GAGUCUGUGGCCACGCCUCCCGUCCCGCCACCGGGAAACCCAUCUCCACCGCAUCGGUCCGCUUGCUCUUGCUCGGCAUCCGCGGCCUGCCUUGCUCUCGGACAGGGUUUCGCCGCGUACACCUAGCCAUGGCCGCCUCGCUACCACGCCUCUCCCUCCCGCCGACGGCCGCUCUCCCUGCCGUCACCUCCUCUCGCUACCGCCCCGACCUCGCCCCCGUCCCCAACCGCCGCCGCCUCGGCCUCCGUCUCCACCGCUCCCCGGUGGUACCUGCAGCCGCCGCGAGCUCGCCGUCCCUUCUGUCUUCUUCACCGCAACCAGGGUUGGGUAUCGGUGAUGCCCUCGGUGGCGUCGCCAUCUUCUCCGCGGCCACCGGCGAGCCCGUCCUGAUCAGGGAUCUGUGGGACCAAAACGAGGGAAUGGCUGUCGUCGCGUUGCUAAGGCAUUUCGGAUGUCCUUGCUGCUGGGAGUUAGCCUUGACGUUGAAAGACGCGAAAGAAAGAUUUGAUUCUGCUGGCGUCAAACUAAUUGCUGUUGGUGUUGGCACUCCUGAUAAAGCCCGUAUUCUUGCUGAGCGUUUGCCCUUUCCAUUGGAUUACCUCUAUGCUGAUCCUGAGCGCAAGGCUUAUGAUCUCUUGGGCCUAUAUUUUGGUGUUGGGCGCACAUUCUUCAACCCAGCCAGUGUGAAAGUAUUUUCUCGGUUUGAUUCCCUCAAGGAGGCGACAAAGAACUAUACAAUCGAAGCCACCCCAGAUGACAGGCCAAGUGUCCUGCAACAGGGUGGAAUGUUCGUGUUCAAAGGGAAAGAACUGUUAUAUGCAAGGAAGGAUGAGGGCACAGGGGAUCAUGCACCAUUAGAUGAUGUCCUGAACAUCUGCUGUAAAGUUCCAGUAGCCUGAUGUCGAAUCCUACAAAUAGGCGCUUCUCGUACAGACAUUUCAUAAGCUUGGCAUCAGAUGACUUUCGAGAUACUGGAUCCUGAUAUAUACGUUAUCUUCAGCAUGUGUAUUGGGCUUUAUCAAUUUAAAGCCGGGUGUUUCUUGGUCGUAUUUCCACAAGUGUCCAAUUUCUUGUACAGAAUGCUGCAUACCUGGCUACCUGGACAUCAUGCAAUUGGGCUGUACUAAUAUCAAGGAGGGCAAAUGCUACACAAGAUCUCCAAUGGUCAAAACCCCAGUCUCUGACCCACCCACCGCGUGGAGACCAAGGAAGCUGCUAUGUUGGAAGCCUUUUUUUGGGGGUCACACUGGAGCCCUCCAGGGAGGUUGAUGGCUUCAAAAGCCUUUUUGGAGUUACAUCUUGACACUUUUUUGUUUGUUUAAAAAUGAGGUUGAAAACCC